rnacentral:lncRNA from 1 species
UUAACGGGUGCAGCACACCAACAUGGCACAUGUAUACAUCCACUGCAUUCCAGCCUGGGUGACAGAGCAAGAGCUAGUCUCUAAAAAUUAAAAAUAAAGAAGAUGCAAGGAGAUAAAAGGAGAUUGCUGUCAGAUCUUAAAGGAGCAUGACAUUCUCUCCCUGAAUCAUGUGUUUAAGCCACAAAAAUUUUGUUCUCGUAAGGCCAUCAGAUGAAUAGUCUCUUUAGGUACAGUUUGGAUUUUGUUAUUAUUUAGGUCAAGUAUUUGAAUACUUUUGGGCGUGUAAUGUAUACUAAAAUAUUAUACUGCAUUAAUAUGUAAAUAUAACACAGUAUAAUUAU